UCCUUGGCGGUCCAGUGGUUAGGACUCCACUCUUCCAAUGCAGGGGCUGCAGGUUUGAUUCCCGCCAGAGGAA
rfam:TPA: Bos taurus chromosome 12, whole genome shotgun sequence.